UACGAAGGGUGCAAGCGUUACUCGGAAUUACUGGGCGUAAAGCGUGCGUAGGUGGUCUGUUAAGUCUGAUGUGAAAGCCCUGGGCUCAACCUGGGAAUUGCAUUGGAUACUGGCAGGCUAGAGUGCGGUAGAGGAUGGCGGAAUUCCCGGUGUAGCAGUGAAAUGCGUAGAUAUCGUAAGGAACGCCAGUGGCGAAAGCGAGUCUCUGGGCAGCAUCUGACACUGAGGCACGAAGGCCAGGGGAGCAAACGGG
rnacentral:rRNA from 1 species